AUAUAGGAUUAGGUACCUAACUAUCAAAACUACACCGAUUUAUCACUUAUUUACUUCCAUACUUUACUGAUAUCAUCGAACACAAAAUACCGAUUGCACAUCAUUUGGGCAACCCUCGUUGUCAAGAGUCGUAGCCUGUUCGUCGACUAUCUCACCUGUGAAGCAAGGAAUUUUCGUACCGACCGACGAGAUGAGGCAAGCAGCCCCCCAUCCUCUACUUCGUCGCAGCAAGGCAGCAAAGCGACAACAAAAAGAUUAGGGCUCAAAUUGUAGGAGCGAUGAGGCUUUUGAUUCAAGAUGCAAUCUUUAGACAUGCUUGGCCUGUGCUCAUGAGAGUUGUACUCCAAAAAGAUGAGGUCGCCGGAAACUUAGCACAACUGCAUAACUCCGCUGCAGCAUUGUGGAGGGUUGACUUACAUCAUUUGUCGCUGCACACGACCCACUAUUGUCUCCGGAAAGUUUCACGACGUGCAUAAUCAAAAGUGCUUAAUGUUUCUUCUAAACAAUGAGUAGAUGGAGAAACUAUUGCGAUGAUGCAGGUUUUGGUCUUUCCACCAAGUGAGUCUCUUAAUAAGAUUGCUUACGAAUAAAGGCAUAUAUGAACAAAGGCAAAAAGAUAACAGAGGAGUUGUUAUUGUGCACCAUGUUGAAUGAAACAGAAGAACAUGACAGAAGUGAACGAACAGGGAAGUAAACAAUAAGAUGACAGGUUUCCAAAAAUGCCCCUGGGGUUAAACUCUUUCCCAUAAUUUGAAUUAUCCCAACAAUAUAUUAGUAAUGCUCAUUAACUUCUUUUCUUGCCUAUUCAUAGUUUGUCUAAUUAUUUAAUUGUCUUUUUUGGGAUCAAACUCUUUAGAUAAAUCAAAGCCAAAAGUUGCACGGAUACAUCUUUAGAAUUCUCACUUUGUCAACCAUACACACUCUCCAAGAUCUGCUCCUACUAAGUUUGGCAUUUCAAAGACAUCUACUGUGGGUCCUUCUUGGGAAGGUAGAGGGCAAAAAUCAGAGAUGAAGAUGAUGCAAUGCCUCUGAAGCUGGAUGGUGUUAUGAAAGAAAGCUCUUUGCAAUUGUCUUUUGUCGACCCAACAUGGGCAAAAUCGUCCAACAAGGGUAAAAAUCAUCACACUUAUGUGAUCAUGGAAGUUAAUGCAAUGUAUGACAGAUGUACUAGUGAGUUUGAAGUAUAUCUUGACUAGUUCUUUGUAACUAAGGGUUUCUGCUCAUGUGUUUAGUAAAUAAAUUAUUGAUAGUUUGAUUGUAAUUUGAAUAGAUUCCAUAUUAUUGUUUUGGUGUUUGUUUUUUC